rnacentral:rRNA from 1 species
GAUGAGUUUGAUCCUGGCUCAGGACGAACGCUGGCGGCGUGCCUAACACAUGCAAGUCGAGGGGCAGCGCGGUGCAGCAAUGCACUGGCGGCGACCGGCGUACGGGUGCGUAACGCGUAUGCAACCUGCCCCGCACCGGGGGAUAGCCCGCCGAAAGGCGGAUUAAUACCCCAUGGCCCCGGGGGCCCGCAUGGGCUACCGGGUAAAGCCUUGGCGGUGCGGGAUGGGCAUGCGUGCCAUUAGCUGGCUGGUGGGGUAACGGCCCACCAGGGCGACGAUGGCUAGGGGGUCUGAGAGGAUGGUCCCCCACACUGGUACUGAGACACGGACCAGACUCCUACGGGAGGCAGCAGUGAGGAAUAUUGGUCAAUGGGCGGAAGCCUGAACCAGCCAUGCCGCGUGCGGGAUGAAGGCCCUACGGGUUGUAAACCGCUUUUCCCCGGGAAGAAUAACCCCGACGCGUCGGGGGAUGCCGGUACCGGGGGAAUAAGGAUCGGCUAACUCCGUGCCAGCAGCCGCGGUAAUACGGAGGAUCCGAGCGUUAUCCGGAUUUACUGGGUUUAAAGGGUGCGUAGGCGGCCCUGCAAGUCAGCGGUGAAAUGUGGCGGCUCAACCGUUUCGCUGCCGCUGAUACUGUGGGGCUUGGAUGCGGUCGAGGCGGGUGGAAUUCGUGGUGUAGCGGUGAAAUGCAUAGAUAUCACGAGGAACGCCGAUAGCGAAGGCAGCUCGCCGGGCCGCGAUCGACGCUGAGGCACGAAAGCGUGGGGAUCAAACAGGAUUAGAUACCCUGGUAGUCCACGCCGUNAACGAUGAUGGGCUGGGUGUGCGCCCGCGAGGGCGCGUGCCUGAGGGAAACCAUUAAGCCAUCCACCUGGGGAGUACGGCCGCAAGGCUGAAACUCAAAGGAAAUUGACGGAUCU